GCUUGUCUCAAAGAUUAAGCCAUGCAUGUCUAAGUAUAAGCCUUUACACGGUGAGACUGCGAAUGGCUCAUUAAAUCAGAAACUGUUUAUUUGAUAGUGCCUACUACUUGGAUAACCGUGGUAAUUCUAGAGCUAAUACAUGCGAAAAGACGGGCCGCAAGGCUUGUUGUAUUUAUUAGAUAAAAAAUCAAUACCUGUUCUGCAGGUCCUAUUGGUGAGUCAUAAUAACUGUUCGAAUCGCAUGCUUCGGCAGGCGAUAGUUCAUUCAAAUUUCUGCCCUAUCAGCUUUCGACGGUAGUGUAGUGGACUACCGUGGCGUUAACGGGUAACGGAGAAUUAGGGUUCGAUUCCGGAGAGGGAGCCUGAGAAAUGGCUACCACAUCCAAGGAAGGCAGCAGG
rnacentral:rRNA from 1 species